GACGAACGCUGGCGGCGUGCUUAACACAUGCAAGUCGAACGAAGUGGCGAACGGGUGAGUAACGCGUAAUCAACCUGCCCUUCAGAGGGGGACAACAGUUGGAAACGACUGCUAAUACCGCAUACUGAAGGAGGGGAUUGCGUCUGAUUAGCUCGGUGGUGGGGUACGUGCCUACCAAGGCGACGAUCAGUAGCGGUGCUGAGAGGAUGAUCCGCCACACUGGGACUGAGACACGGCCCAGACUCCUACGUGAGGCAGCAGUGGGGAAUUUUGGACAAUGGGCGCAAGCAUGAUCCAGCCAUGCAGCGUGUCUGAAGAAGGCCUGCGGGUUGUAAAGUACUUUCAGUCGGGAGCGUUACCGACAGAAGAAGCACCGGCUAACUCCGUGCCAGCAGCCGCGGUAAUAC
rnacentral:rRNA from 1 species